rnacentral:rRNA from 1 species
UACGUAGGGGGCAAGCGUUGUCCGGAAUCAUUGGGUUUAAAGGGAGCGUAGGCGGCCUUAUAAGUCAGUGGUGAAAUCUUUGGGCUUAACCCAAAAAUUGCCAUUGAUACUGUAGGGCUUGAGUACAGUUGCUGUGGGCGGAAUAUGACAUGUAGUGGUGAAAUACAUAGAGAUGUCAUAGAACACCGAUUGCGAAGGCAGCUCACAAAACUGUAACUGACGCUGAGGCUCGAAAGUGCGGGGAUCAAACAGG